CAGUCGCCACGGUAAUACGGAGGGGGCUAGCGUUGUUCGGAAUUACUGGGCGUAAAGCGCACGUAGGCGGCUUGGUAAGUUAGAGGUGAAAGCCUGGAGCUCAACUCCAGAAUUGCCUUUAAGACUGCCGAGCUAGCAGGUGAGAGAGGUAAGUGGAAUUCCGAGUGUAGAGGUGAAAUUCGUAGAUAUUCGGAAGAACACCAGUGGCGAAGGCGGCUUACUGGCUCAUACUGGACGCUGAGGUGCGAAAGCGUGGGGAGCAAACAGGAUUAGAGACCCCUGUAGUCCCUGUCUCUUAUAC
rnacentral:rRNA from 1 species